UUUUUUUUUUUUUUUUGGCUUUUUGCUAUUUCUUGGGCUGCUCCCGCAGCAUAUGGAGAUUCCCAGGCUAGGGUCGAAUCGGAGAUGUAGCCACCGGCCUACGCCAGAGCCACAGCAACGCGGGAUCCGAGCCGAGUCUGCAACCUACACCACAGCUCACAGCAACGCCGAUCGUUAACCCACUGAGCAAGGGCAGGGACCGAACCCGCAACCUCAUGGUUCCCAGUCGGAUUCGUCAAUCACUGCACCACGAUGGGAACUCCUAUCUCCAACAUGUUUUCUAACGCAGCGAGCCCCCCUCAUAACCUGGCCCGUCUUCACCUUGCGGGUCUGGCUGGCUUCAUUCCCGUGGUGUCACUGAACAUGUUCACCUCUCUACUGUGUUUCCCGAAAGUAGGUGGUUACCUCCUGGAGGCCUGAUCAGAUUCAGACUCAAUAUUGUCGCCAAGAGACCAUUUCCCUUAGGAAACACCAACGUCUGCUGUCUUCCCUUUUUCACGACAUUAGCGACCAAUGUCCUAAGAAGGUCAUGGCCAUUGCCUAGGUCCACUCAUGAAGUCAGAGUUGAGAAUACAUGAUAGUCUAUCAUUUCUUCAGACAGUCUUGACAUUCUUCGUUUCUUCACCACCACUGUGAUAGUUGUGGCGUCGGCCUCCUCUGCAGCUCCAAUUCAACCCCUCGCCUGGGGACUUCAUAAGCCAUAGGUGUGGUCAUAAAAAGGAUAAACAAAGCAAACAAACAAACAAAAAAGAGUGGUUCCUAUCACCUUUGAAAGGAGACCAGUAAGUCAUUUUGAGUUCUCCUAUCAUUAGGUACUUGUGGACAUAGACAUAUGUGAUGUGUUUCAAUCCAUUAAAGUAACUAGUCCAAUUGUGAUGCUAAAAUUGUCUCAUCUUUGGCCUAUUGAUGUUGGCAUCUCUAAAUGACAUGAUCCUAACAGCACCAGAUAACAUCCUUGCUUUUUGAUAUAAUAAGAUCUUAUAGAUUUAUCUGGUAUACUUCCUGUUCCAGACAUGGAAUCAACCAUUUCCCAAGGAGGCUUGGUUGCAUUUGCUGGAAAAUGGUAAUUAGAGAUCCUAAUCUAUUUGCUAAGGAAGCUCAUGGCUAUUGGGUUGGUCCGUAUUUCCGGGCCUUUUUAAUAGAAACAGAACACAUGAAUUUUUAAGCUGAAAUACAUAAUGGAUUUAUACUAACAAUGCUACUUCCAAUUCUGGGCUAUAACAUUUUUAAUUAACCUCCCUGAUCUUAUAUCUGUGGUUUUUUCCCUCCCACACCUUAAAAUUCUAAUUUUCCUAAAAACUGACACAAUUACUCAUUUGUUUUAUCUCUCAAUACACACAACAAUAGCAAUAACAAUACCAACACUACUUCCAACAAAAGCAUUACGGAAAAACGUUACAUUUUUCUGUUUCAUUUUUUUUUUUUAAAUCACCAUUAAAAUGUACCCAGGAAUGGAUGCAGUCAAAUUACUGCAUUUUAAAGUCACUGGGGACAGUUCCUCUCUGGGAGUUACGGCCAUUACCUGAGUAGACAUUUAGGUUCAAUUGUUUCCCUAACUUUUGAAUUUUAUUUUAUUAUUUAUUUAUUUUGCUUUUUUAGGAACACACCUACAGCACAUGGAGGUUCCCAGGCUAGGGGUCAAGUCGGAGCUACUGCUGCUGGCCUACACCACGGCCACAGCAAUGCGGAUGCGACCUGUGUCUGUGACCUACACCACAGCUCAUGGCAACACCGGAUCCUUAACCUACUGAGCAAGGCUAGGGAUCAAACCUGCGUCCUCAUGGAUACUAGUCAGAUUUGUUUCCGUUGAGCCACUACAGAACUCUAGACUUUUGAGUUUUAUAAUUGCCUUGUUAUCUAGUUUUAUUUUCUAAUUUUAUGGAACAAGGCUUAUUCAAAAAAGCCUACUUCUUCCUCUUUCUCUUGUUCCUCACUUCUCACUUUAGGUAACUAUGUCAGAUUAUAUUUUCUAGAAAUGGCCACAGCAAUAUUUUUAGUUGUACAUGUCUUCUCGACCUCACCACUUCCUCUCUAAGAGGUGAAGUCUGCUCUGCUCUCACCUUACUUGAACCUGGGUGGGCCCUAUAACUGUCUGAAAAAGAGGAAUGUGGCAAAAGUGACACUGUGUGACUUCUGAGAUGAAACAUAAAAGGUAAUACUGCUUGAGCUGCUUCACUCUCAGGAAAGACACCGUUGGGGUCCUGAGGGAACCUGUGAGAAGACCAGGUACCCAGAGGCCUCCAAGCUGGAGAGACCACAGAGAGAAAGACAGAGCCUCCAGGGAGCCCAGCCCUGCCAGUCCCAUCCUGAGCUGACGGAGUCUUCUACUCCUGACUGGGUCAUGUGAGGAAGCAAGCUUCCAGACGAUCUGAAUGAUCCCAGCCUCAACUGCUCACUGCAAGCCUGGCGAGACCCACGGAGCUAAGCCCAGACGAUCCUAGACCCUGAGAGAUACUGCUGUUACCUACAGCCACUAAUUUUGUCAAACAGUAAUAGAUAAUUGGAAAGUAUACUAACUUUAAAAAAAAUGCUAUGGUUUAUCCUAGCUUUUCUAAGAAAAAAAAGUAAAUUUAUAUAUAAACCUAGUUUCACAUCCGUCUGUGGAUAGAUAGUAGCACACUACACACUUUUCUCCAUCUUUCUUUUUUAUUUUCCUUUCAACAGUAUAUCUAGGAGUUAUUCUAAAAUAAUCUAUAGCCAUACCCCUUAUCUCUUUUCAGAGCUGCAUAGCACUCAUCUGUGCAGGAGUUCCAUUAUUUAUUCAACAAAUGCCUUUUGGAUAAAAUCAGGAUGCUUCAAGGUUUGCUUAUUUGCAAAUAUCACUGUAAGAAUAACCUGUGUUCUCUUCUAAUCACAGGGUUAGGCUAAUGUCUCUAGAAGUUCAAACGAGUUAAUUUAUGUAAAGUUCUUGAACCAGUGCCUGCGACAGACUAAGCACUCAGCAAACAUGAGCUAGAGAUAUCAUGAAAGAAAAGCCCUUUGGUUUUGUGGAUGGGAGCCAAGUCAGUGAAAAAUGUUGCUCACACCACUGGUGCUGUGAACCCCAGUUGAGGGGGCACAGAUGGUCUGAAGGAAGCAGAGGCUCACUGGAACCCGGCUUCUUCCCUCCUCCUGAAAUGAUUCCUCCCACUUGGCCACUUGGCUCUCUAGACCAUCCACUUCAUUCAGGAGGCAGGGCAAGUAUUUCUUCUCUAGGGAAGCCCAACAUGACCAUCCCCAACCCCAACAGGGUCAGACUCCUCUGCUAUUCAAGGCCCCAGAAUAUUGUUUUUGCACGUUCAGGGCACUUAUUUAUGUUUUCAGUUUAGACAUCUAGGAGCAGUAUUAUUUGGGGAGGGUCUUCCUUCCCUCCUAGACAGCAAGUUCCAUGACUGUCUGCACUCACUGCUGUACCCUGGUGUCAGCCCUGCCUCGCCAAGGCUCUCAACAGAGACAUGCAGAGGGGGCCCCUGCACAAGACCCAGCUUGGCGAGGCCACACAGAGCUCACCCAAGGCCAAGUUCACGGACCAACUCCAAGCCUGGGAAAUUUAGUCAUCUACCUUUCGUGGCCUCCUCAUUAGUGUAAAUUUAAAAAAUAGCCUUAUGCCAACACCAUAAAGGUAAUUUCCUCUUGGAAAGGACACUUGCUCAUUUGCUUUAAACAGUCAUUAAUGUUCCAAAUUUCCCCUCAGAAUUUCAUGUCAAUGAUCCUAUGGGGAAUUUGAAAGUAAAACCAGACAAAUAACGAUGUGAGGAAAAUGUCAGAUGAGAACGGUGAAUGCAUUACAGACCUUCAACUGAUAUCGUUGCUGUCGGAGUUCAAGGAUUAAAUAGUCAUCAGUUUGCAGCCUUCCAUGGGAGCCCAUUUCUCCCUGACAGCAGGCAGUUGCCAGCUUGCCAAUAAAGAUUGUGUCUACAGUAAUUGAUGACUUUAUCUAAUGAGGAGAUCUCGGUCUAAAAGUCAUAAGGCUCACCCCUCAUCAGUAAAUGCAGGUCCCAGGGACUUACUCGGAAAGACUUUGCAAGAAAAGGGGCAGCCUUCUUCAAAUGAAUAAAGAUAAUCUACCUUAUGACUGCAGCCAGGAUAGGUGCUCACAGGCUAUUAAAAAGGUGCAAUAUUCAGGACCAUGCCCAGGAAACCUGGGGUAUGAGUAUAACAUCCUUAUUGAAGAAUGCCUUUUCAGACCCCAAUCUCUCGGGCUGAUAAAGUGUGAGUCCCACAUUCACACCACAUUCACACCUUCACAUGCCUUUAGGAAGGACCCCUGGGAGUUUCCCCUUGUGACGCAGUGGUAAUGAAUCCCAUCAGGAUUCAUGAGGAUGCGGGUUGGAUCCCUGGCCUCGCUCAGUGGGUUAAGGAUCUGGCAUUGCCAUGAGCUGUGGUGUAGGUCACAGACACGGCUGGGAUCCCGCAUUGCCAUGGCUGUGGCUGUGGCUGUGGCUGGUAACAUCCAUAUGCUGCAGAUGCGGUCCUAAAAAGUUGAAGAAAAAAAAAAAAAAAAAAAAAAAAAGGGAAGCUACCCUGAUACCCUGAUAUAAUGUCCACCCUUACUAUCUCCCGUGCCUGUCACAGACCUGUCUCAAAGCAGAUUAUCAAAAAACACCUGUUGAAAAAAAUGAAUGGCUUAUUUUCUACUUCCUAGGGCCCCAGGAAUAAUGGCAGUGUGGUUCUAGAAGCAGGAAACCCGGUUAGAAAGCAGUGAGAUUCCCAAGAGCACCUUAUGUAAUCCUCCCCGCCCCCCAUGGCAGAUAUAAUUAUCGCUGUUUUAAAGAUGAAGGAACAGAGAGAAGCUGGUGACGUAGUCAUCACAUAAAUGGCAUGUACCGGGCAGGGCUAGGAUGGACUUCUGGCCCCUCUAACUGCAGCAUGCCCUCUUCUGAACCCUGUUGCUGUGACAUUUCUCAGGCCAUUUUCAACAUGAGCCAGCUGCUCUUCCUACUACUCCAGCGUUUCAGCCCCCUUAUUCUGUUCUACUUUGGCUAUUCCCAUGGCACUUGUCACCUUCUAAUAUACUCUGUAAUUUACUUUCUUACCAUUUGUAUCAUCUGUCUCUCUUGCUAGAAUGUCAGUGCUACAAGCCUAGAGAUCUCUGCCCUUUUUGUUCAGGGAUGUAUUCCAGGGGCCUCCAAAGUGCUUAGUCCAUCCAGGGCACUCAAGAAGUAUUGAGGGAAGAAGAAAAGAACAAGGGAAGAGAGAAAACAAGACGAGACGUGAGCUAGUGCCUCCACCCCCGAUUCGGGGCUAUCUGGUGCCUGCUCAGUGCCCCCCAUGAAAGCAUAGACCCUCUUUGCCCCUGUCUCUGGGCUGCAAUCCUGCCAACACCAGGUGGCUAGAGAUGGGAAAACGGAAGAGGCAGCUGAGGAGUUAAGGUCUCAUGCCCCUUUGGGACAGCUCUGGGACAGAAAGGAAGGAGGAGCAGGGGGAGGCAGGGAGUUUAGGAGCUUUUUGCAGCAUGAAAGCAAUAGGACUUCAUGAGUCCUUGGUACAUUGCUCCUCACAGAUUAACUCUAGGAGUUCCCGUCGUGGAGCAGUGGUUAUCAAAUCCAACUAGGAACCCUGAGGUUGCGGGUUUGAUCCCUGGCCUUGCGCAGUGGGUUGAGGAUCUGGUGCUGCCGUGAGCUGUGGUGUAGGUUGCAGACGCUAAGGGUUGAAUCAGAGCUACAGCUGCACCAGAGCCACAGCAACACCAGAUCCGAGAAGCAUCUGUGACCUACGCCGCAGCUCACGGCAAUGCCGGAUCUUUAACCCACUGAGUGAGGCCAGGGAUUGAACCUGCAACUUCAUGGUUCCUAGUCAGAUUCGUUUCCACUGCAUCACGAUGGCAACUCCUGGGACACGAACUUCUUGAGGGAAGAGAUUUUUCUGUGUGUGUCCAUGCCUGUAUCACCAGGGCCUAAACAGUGCCUGGCACAGAGUAAGUACUCAAUAAAUAUUUGCCGAAUGAACAAAUUCAGGUGGCAAUGAAAAAUUACCACCAUAAACAGAAACAGUGCUGGCAGCUAGAGCAGGGAAAGGCUGACAUGGGUUCUGUAGCAGAGAUGCUACCCUGAGGCCGCUGUGGGAGCUGACUUUUGGGCCCCUAACUUGAGUGCAAGGCUGACUCUGCAAAUAUCCUUUCUUUGCCCAAAAUCAAGCCUGUUUCUGUCAACAGUGCCCCAGACCAAGCAUCCCAGCAUCGACUUACUGUCACAUACUUUGUAAUAUACUCCUUUUUAUUCUGAAACAAAACACAGUAAUGUAUUUUAUCAGCCCUAAACACGUGUCUUGUAUGCAGAAAGAACAGCAUUUUCCCUUUUCCCACCAGUCAUCUGCGGUGUUAAACUGCACGUAAUUAAAUUAAAAGCAUCCACGAACUCUCUGAAAUAGAAUGCUUUGAAGAAACCUCAAAUUAUUGUAAUUAAAGCUGUGGAGACCUCAUGGUAUAAUGGUGGUCAACAAAUAGCACCAGUACAAUGACAUUCUAC
rnacentral:lncRNA from 1 species